rnacentral:rRNA from 1 species
GAUGAACGCUGGCGGCGUGCCUAAUACAUGCAAGUCGAGCGAACAGACGAGGAGCUUGCUCCUCUGACGUUAGCGGCGGACGGGUGAGUAACACGUGGAUAACCUACCUAUAAGACUGGGAUAACUUCGGGAAACCGGAGCUAAUACCGGAUAAUAUAUUGAACCGCAUGGUUCAAUAGUGAAAGACGGUUUUGCUGUCACUUAUAGAUGGAUCCGCGCCGCAUUGGCUAGUUGGUAAGGUAACGGCUUACCAAGGCAACGAUGCGUAGCCGACCUGAGAGGUGGAUCGGCCACAUUGGAACGGAGACACGGUCCAGACUCCUACGGGAGGCAGCAGUAGGGAAUCUUCCGCAAUGGGCGAAAGCCUGACGGAGCAACGCCGCGUGAGUGAUGAAGGUCUUCGGAUCGUAAAACUCGGUUAUUAGGGAAGAACAAAUGUGUAAGUAACUAUGCACGUCUUGACGGUACCUAAUCAGAAAGCCACGGCUAACUACGUG